GGGAUAACCCCGCUCUUACACAUUCCAGCCCUGAAAAAGGGCAUCAAAUUAAACCACACCUAUGGUGUAUGUCAAAUUAAACCACACCUGGCGUGUGGC
rnacentral:misc_RNA from 1 species